CAGUAGCAAGCUCUUUUCCACUGAGUAAUGUGGAGCAAUUGGGAGAAGAGAAUCCAGAAACCUUGUUACUCCACUCGUUUAUUUAGUGGCCUAUCUCCUUAAAGACCUGGCGCUGGAGCUUUUUCCCCAGCCUGCUUUAGGAGAAUCCUUGACACACAACAUAAAUCUCCCCCUCUUUCUCCCAGCAAACCGCACCGUCAUUUCUGUCUCGAGCCAUUUAGACCCUUCAGCCUGUGGGGGCCGGCGCUGAUAUCCACAUCAUGUCAGAGUAGAGGAACAGUGUGGAGGAGUCACUGUGAAGCAAAGUGAUGAUUGAUAUUUGUCAGUACCAUUUUGAAUGUUUAGAUUGAAUGAAUAAAUUAUUGCUUUUCCA